rnacentral:rRNA from 1 species
UACGGGGGGAGCAAGCGUUGUUCGGAUUUACUGGGCGUAAAGGGCGCGUAGGCGGCGCAACAAGUCACUUGUGAAAUCUCCGGGCUUAACCCGGAGCGGUCAAGUGAUACUGUCGUGCUAGAGUCCGGAAGAGGUGAGUGGAAUUCCUGGUGUAGCGGUGAAAUGCGCAGAUAUCAGGAGGAACACCGAUGGCGAAGGCAGCUCACUGGGACGGUACUGACGCUGGAGAACGGCGAAAGCGUGGGGAGCAAACAGG